rnacentral:rRNA from 1 species
UACAGAGGGUGCGAGCGUUGUCCGGAAUCACUGGGCGUAAAGGGCGCGUAGGUGGCCCGACAAGUCAAUGGUGAAAGUUCGACGCUUAACGUCGAAUCGGCCACUGAUACUGUUGGGCUGGAGCACUGUAGAGGCUCAUGGAAUUCCGGGUGUAGCGGUGGAAUGCGUAGAGAUCCGGAAGAACACCGGUGGCGAAGGCGGUGAGCUGGGCAGUUGCUGACACUGAGGCGCGACAGCGUGGGGAGCAACAGGG